rnacentral:rRNA from 1 species
UACGCAGGGGGCUAGCGUUGCUCGGAAUCACUGGGCGUAAAGCGCACGUAGGCGGCUUUUUAAGUCAGGGGUGAAAUCCUGGAGCUCAACUCCAGAACUGCCUUUGAUACUGAGAAGCUUGAGUCCGGGAGAGGUGAGUGGAACUGCGAGUGUAGAGGUGAAAUUCGUAGAUAUUCGCAAGAACACCAGUGGCGAAGGCGACUUCCUGGCCUGUUCUUGACGCUGAGGCGCGAAAGCUAGGGGAGCAAACGGG